CUGACUUUGCGUACCCUCUGGGUGAGGGGGGAGAGAGAUUUGAUCUCUCGGUACUUGUGUUUCAGGGACUUGAAGCACGGAAUCUCCUAGAGUAUCCAGGGUGGGGAAAUUUGGGAGGAGGUAAAGAGGAGGAAGGGAAGUGGGUUAUUUCCCUUUGUGG